GUCUUCAUGGCCCGACCUCCACCCUCUGUUGUUAUACUACACUUGUUGCUUUGGCGGGACCGUCUCGGUCUCCGAGCGCACUAACCCUCGGGUUGGUGAGCGCCCGCCAUAGUCCAAUCAAACUCUUGUAUUAAAACAGUCGUCUGAGUAUAAAAUUUUAAUUAUAUUAAAACUUUCAACAAAGGAUCUCUUGGUUCUCGCAUCGAUGAAGAACGCAUCGAAAUGCGAUAAGUAAUGUGAAUUGCAGAAUUCAGUGAAUCAUCGAAUCUUUGAACGCACAUUGCGCCCCUUGGUAUUCCGAGGGGCAUGCCUGUUCGAGCGUCAUUACACCACUCAAGCAUCGCUUGGUAUUGGGAACGGUCCGUCGAAAGGCGGGCCUUCCUCGAAGACCUCGGCGGGGUUCAACCAACUUCGGGCGUAGUAGAGUUAAAUCGAACGUCUUAUAAGCUUGGUCGGAUCUCAUUGCCGUUAAACCUUUAAAUUUUCUAGGUUGACCUCGGAUCAGGUAGGGAUACCCGCUGAACUUAAGCAUAUCAAUAAG
rnacentral:rRNA from 1 species